CAGAGACUACUUCCGGAGCAGGACAUUCGGCGAUGAGCUAGACCACAAAGCCUCCUCUCCCCAGGGGCCUCCCCUCCUGGUGCGGGGGUUCGCAGUAAUAAGCGAGGGGAAACUUGGAAAGCACUGUGGAAAGUGACGUGGCUGACUGCAGCAUCUCCGUCUUUCAUCUCUGCUAGUGAAACUCUCUGGGAAAUUGCAAAAGCUGAAGUGGAAAAAAGGGGAAUUAAUGGAAGUGAAGGUGAUGGAGCUGAAAUUGCAGAAAAAUCUGUUUUCUUCAUUGGCAGUAAAAAUGGGGGUUAUUAAUUAUUUUGAAAAAUCUGGGGAAAAUAUGGCAGCAUUUCCAUUGGACCACUGAUUGGUAGGAAGAACCCCUCCCCACUUGCUGUAAGUCUCUGUUUUACUUGGCCAAGCAUACAGAAAGGCUUGGAAGUGACCACACAGAGCAGGAACAUAUGCAUCAUAUCUUCAUGCAACUUUGCCUGGCCCACAAAGUUCCUGCCAGGAAGGCAAAAUGACUGGUGACACAAAAAGGUCAAGGCUUGCUAGAUGCAAGAUGCUGAAAUUCACGUAGUGCCGUAGCUCAUUUCUGUUUGGGGUUCAAAUUCCUGUUCACUUUCUGUGCUCCAUGCUUCCACUUAAGUGCACUGACAAAUACGAAGCUUUCAGAAACUAAACUCUGCAUCAGCAAGGCUACAUGUUCACUGGGCAACGUCAGUGCCCAGGCAGCCUGAGCACCCGUCUUGUCUCCAGAUGAGUCCCAGAAGGCCCUCUCUGCACAACCGGACACCCUCCAUUGGGGGUUUUAUAUACAACAUUAAGAUUACAUAUAUUGGGAGAAAUACCUAUACAACCAUGAAAAAGGUUUUAGUGAUGUAAGAAUAUAAUCUGAAUUAAAAAAGCAGGACACAAGUGUCAUACAUGACAUGAUCCCAAUUAUACAAAUAUGUAAAUAAAAAAUUCUGAUAAAAAUUAGAAAUAUGGAUAGUCAAAUUCUAAUCACUUAAUGUUUUUAUUUUGUUUUUAAUUUUUUUAUUUUCCAGAGUUUUCAUAUUGGCCCACUUUUUAAAAUUCAAACUUAAUUAUUUAAAAUAAAAUUAUCGUAGAGAUCAUUUAUAUUUUAAAAUUUUAACCCAACUAUAUAAGUAUAUAUUUUAUAAGCAUGUUAUUUCUUUUUUUGAGACAGGGUCUCGCUCUGGUUGCCCAGGCUAGAGUGCAGUGGUGCGAUCUCAGCACACUGCAGCCUUGACUUCCCUGGCUCAGGUGAUUUUACCUCAAGUAGCUGGGAUUACAGGCAUGCGCCACCACACCCGGCUAAUUUUUUGUAUUUUUAAUAGAGAUGGGGUUUCACUUCGUUGCCCAGGCUGACCUCCAACUCCUGGACUCAAGCAAUCCACCCGUCUCAGCCUCCUAGAAUGCUGGGAUUAGAGGCAUGAGUCACCGCCCCGGCUACGCGUUAUUUCAUGAGUUUACUAUUAUGAUGCACGUGAUUUUCAUAUUAGGCAUAGUACUUAACAGUUUCCUACAUUGUAUCUUACUGCCAUGUAGGUACAUACAUAGAUUUAAAUAAAUGAGUAAAUAACUAGUACUAGUCUUAUGGUACAAAUACAUUUCUAUUACAGAAAACAUUCUGUACACAGAAUAUUAGACAGAAUGGCUUAUACUAAUGGUACUGAUUACUGACUCCAUCAUACAAAUGCUUACAUACAAAAUACCCCUACCAGUAUCCUCUGAGCGCUCUCUGUAACAGUUAUUCUUGACUCCCUUGUAGUCAUGAUACCCUGUUUUGUCUUUUGUUUUGUUUUGUUUUUUUGUUACUUGUGAAACCACCCCUUUUUCUUGAUGGCAGUAUGUGGCAUAUACAAACGUUUUUUGUUUUUAGUAAUAAAAGUAAUUUUGUUUCUGAUGAUUUGGGAACUCCCUUGAUAUCUAAAACUUUUGAGGGUAUUGUUCUUUAAAAAGUAUGUGAUUCUGCUGAGUGCAGUAGCUCAUGCUUGUAAUCCCAGGACUUUGGGAGGCUGAGGCAGAUGGAUUGCUUGAGCCCAGGAGUUCGAGACCAACCUAGGCAACGUGGCAAAACCCAGUCUCUCCAAAAAAAUAAAACAAUUAGCCGGGUGUGGUGGCGCUCACCUGUAUGUAGUCCCAGCUACGUGGAAGGCUGAGGCGAGAGGAUCACUUGAGCCCAGAAGGUUAAGGCUGCCGUGAGCCGCCGUGAUUGUGCCACUACACUCUAGCCUGGGCAACAGAGGGAGACCUUGUUUCAAAAAAGAAAGAAAAAGGUAUCUGAUUCUGCUUCAUGGAGAACAUUAUUUUGGAAGAUAAAGGGAAGCAAUUAAUGCUUCUAUUGUUCAAUUAAUAGUAAUCACCCUUUACCAAAGAAGCCCACUGCCCUGCUGCCUUCUCUUUCUCCUUCCAACCAUCUGUUCAUCCAUUCGGUUGACAUUGAUCGAACAUCUUUUAUAUGCUAAGCAUCCUGCUAGACACUGUGGAAACAGGAAUGAAAGGCAUUCUCCCUGGGAAGGAACUUGUGUAUCAGGACUUGUACACCAAGAAUGACAAUACCAUGAGACAAAUGCUGUGGUGGAAAACAGAGAGGGCACUUAACUCACCCCAGAAAGUUGGGAGACUAGGAAAGCCUCCUGAAGACAGUGAUGGCUAAAGCUUGAAGGUAAGAAGUAAGGAAAGAGAAGUAAUUCAGGUGAAGAGUGUGGAGUAUUCUAAGUUGAUCAAGAAAAAUGUAUGAAACAGAUAUUCCAACAAAUGGGAGAGAGAUCAUACUAGAGGAAUGUAAUAGGAUUUUCAGUCAUUGUUGACUGCCAUUUUGAUGAUGGAUGUUAGUUUGAUACUAAUCUGCCCAGAGUACAUGGUUUUUCUCCACCAUCACUCACUUGCAUGGGUGCAGGCACGGAGGAGGAAGGUGAUUACCUGGGGCGGUCUUUGCUGGUUGGGUACAGUGCAAAGUGAGGGAGCUCAGGGCAUGAAUGAUAUUUAGCAGAGAUGAUUGUAAUGAUAAACUAUGGGCUCUGAGAUGGAAAAGGAGAAAAGUGAAGAUAGGAAGAGGCUAAUGGAGUAGGAGCGACUGUUAGUGGGGGGAAGAGGGGUGUCAAUGGACAUUUGAGACCUUUCACUAAGGUGAAAGAGUUAUUACUGUGGGGAUGCCUGAAGAAGUGGUUAGAGAAUGUGUUGUUUGUACAUGUGAUUUUGGAAGCAGUGCGGUUUCCAGUGAAACUGGAAAGCUUCAAGAUGUAACCUUGGAAGUGACCGUGGCAGAAGCAGAGUGAGGGAAAAGGCCUCCAUUGGGAGGCAAAUGCACUGAGAGCUCCGGAUGUCAGGUGGAUUGCCAAGACCCAUGUGGGUGUGAAGAAGAUUCAUGACAGUAGCUGAAAAGACGGAGUCUUGCUCUGUCGUAUAGGCUCGAGUGCAGUGGUAUGAUCUCGGCUCACUGCAGCCUCCGCCUCCUGGGUUCACACCAUUCUCCUGCCUCAGCCUCCCAAGUUGCUGGGACUGCAGCCGCCCACGACCACGCCCGGAAGCAGGAAAAGUAUUUUUUAAUUGAAAACACAGUCAUGCUGAUCUAUUAUGAAUGUUUUACUAUGUCAGGAAAGACUACUAUUAUUCUAAGGUGUCUUGACAGAGAUGAACCACCAAAACCAACCUUAGCUUUGGAAUAUACAUAUGGAAGAAGAGCAAAAGGGCACAACACACCAAAAGAUAUCGCUCACUUUUGGGAACUCGGUGGAGGAACCUCUUUAUUGGACUUAAUCAGCAUACCCAUCACAAGUGACACCUUACGGACGUUUUCUCUUGUUCUCGUUCUGGAUCUUUCAAAACCUAAUGAUCUCUGGCCCACCAUGGAAAAUCUCUUGCAAGCCACAAAAAGCCAUGUAGACAAAGUGAUAAUGAAACUGGGAAAGACAAAUGCUAAAGCAGUUUCUGAAAUGAGACAGAAGAUCUGGAAUAAUAUGCAGAAGGAUCAUCCUGAUCGUGAAUUAAUUGACCCAUUUCCGGUACCUCUGGUCAUAAUUGGAAGUAAAUAUGAUGUUUUUCAGGAUUUUGAGUCUGAGAAGAGAAAGGUAAUAUGCAAGACACUUCGAUUUGUUGCACAUUAUUAUGGAGCAUCAUUAAUGUUUACCAGUAAAUCAGAAGCUCUAUUACUAAAAAUACGUGGAGUUAUCAACCAGUUGGCAUUUGGCAUUGACAAAAGCAAAUCAAUAUGUGUGGAUCAGAAUAAACCGCUGUUUAUCACAGCAGGAUUGGAUUCUUUCGGUCAAAUAGGAUCUCCUCCUGUUCCUGAAAAUGACAUUGGAAAGCUUCAUGCCCACUCACCAAUGGAGUUGUGGAAAAAAGUGUAUGAAAAGCUCUUUCCACCAAAGAGUAUUAACAUGCUGAAAGAUAUCAAGGACCCUGCGAGAGAUCCUCAGUAUGCUGAAAGUGAAGUCGAUGAGAUGAGAAUUCAGAAGGAUCAGAACAGGCACAUCUAAGGAGAUAUCCUAUCAAGAAGCAGGACAAAACAUCAUGUGUUGCGGAUAACCAGGAUUAUUUCCAAGGUGGGAUAGCCUUUAAGAAGCCAUUCCAAUCUGUAGAUUUGUGUACCUGCUAGCCAAGUUCAUUUUGAUGACCAAGCACCAUCUGAAGAACAGGCCGUCCUGGUCUACCACAGUGCAAAGAAAGGAUCCAGAUGCAGUUUGUCCUCUCCAGCUGCAUGAGUGGCGAGGUUUCCCCAGGUGAUGGGGAAAAUGACCAAACCUGGCAGAGGAUUGACUACUCUGUUUUGAUACUCCCUUCCCCACAACAUAUACACUUUUGAGUUUAUCAUUCAAAUUCCUAUUUUAAUUCCUGCCAUUUCAUGAACACCUGUGGUCAUAUCAAAACUCAUUGGCUUUCCCCAGCCCACACAGUGGUAUUGCCCUGGUGAGAAGAAAUGAUUGGCAGGGCAAGGCUCCAUAUUUGAAUAAGGAAAACCCCAAUGGAACACUUCAACACCAAUGCAACGCUUCCGGGUCCAGGAGCUGUUUUGUUUGGAUGAUGGAAUCGCAUCAGGAAAUGAACUAUACAGCAUUUCCGAAAAAACUGGGUCCUCAGUUUGAAAAACCUGUGAUUUCAGUUGUACACAAACCCCUUUCCAAAUGAGGACUGUGAAGAAGGGGCCCAAAGUAUCUGCAGACACACAGAAGAUGCCCAGACAGCAGCUAGUAACAGUUCUGGGUGCCACUUACUAGGAUCCUGGAGCAGCUGGGCUGCGAUGGAGACCCGGCGCCGCUCACCAGUGGAAAUGCCCCCCAAGCUGUAGUUGCCAAUCAGUCGGUCUGCCACAUGGCUCAGACUCAGCUCUGCCAUGACGGCCUCCACCUGCAGGAGACACAAAUUACAGGAAGGCUGGGAGUCGCUGUGGCUGCUAUUUCAAUUCAUGGGCUGGGGAGGACAUGAAAGAGGCAGCACACCCCCCAAGAAUCCAAGGGCCACUUCCAGACUCACCACACCCUGGGGAAAGCAUGUCUUUGAUAAUAAUAUGAUCCAAUUCGGCUUAAAUCGUAAUACAUGUGUCAGAUUUAAAUAAAUAAUAUGAAUUUUUUAAAACGUCCCCAGAGGCUGGGUGCAGUGGCUCAUGCCUGUAAUCCCAACACUUUGGAAGGCUGAGGAGGGAGAAUUGCUUGAGGCCAGGAGUUUGAGACCAGCUUGGGCAACAAAGAGAGACCCUGUCUCUACAAAAAAAAAAAAAAAAAGAAAAAAGAAAAAAACAAUAAAUUAGCUGGGUAUGCUGGCACGUGCCUGUAGUCCCAGCUACUCGGGAUGCUUAGGCAGGAGGAUCGCUUGAUCCCAGGACGUUGAGACCACAGUUAGCCGUGAUGGCACCACUGCACUCCAGCCUAGGUGACAGAGCAAGACCCUGUCUCUAAAAUAAAAUAAAAUAAAAUGGGCCUGGCAUGGCGGCUUAUGCCUGUAAUCCCAGCACUUUGGGAGGUCGAGGUGGGUGGAUCACUUGAGGUCAGGAGUUCGAGACUAGCCUAGCCAACAUGGUGAAACCCUGUCUGUUCUAAAAAUACAGAAAUGAGCUGGGAGUGGUGGCGGGCACCGGUAAUCCCAGCUACUCGGGAGGCUAAGGCAGGAGAAUUGCUUGAACCCGGGAGGCCAAGGUUGCAGUGAGGCAAGAUGGCACCACUGCACUCCAACCUGGGUGACAGAGCGAGACUCCGACUCAAAAAAAUAAUAAUAAAUAAAUAAACAAAUAAAAUAAGAUUCCCUAGAACACAAACUGCUUACACUUGCUUCAGGAAAAUUAACCAGGAAACAACAGAUGCUUCAUUAAACUCCUAUUUGCAGGAGCCAUAGUCACUGCAGCCCAUACAGAAAAAUCCCCCAAAUUCAUGAUUACAAUAUCGCUUACUUUUAUAAGUGUUUGGGUUUUGAAACUUUAUUAUCAUAAAUGCUUUAUGUGUUUACAAAAAUCCAACCUGAUUCGAACUAAACCUGUUUCCCACUAUAUAACCCAAAUAAGUGCUGGGGUCCCAUGUGGUACAAUCUCAGUGUGAUUUCACAUCAAAGACAUAUAAUCCAGCCUUCAGAAGUAAUUAAAAAUAAUUCCAAUCUUUA